rnacentral:rRNA from 1 species
UACGUAGGUGGCAAGCGUUGUCCGGAUUUACUGGGCGUAAAGAGCGCGCAGGCGGUCGAUCAAGUCGCGUGUGAAAGCCCCCGGCUCAACUGGGGAGGGUCACGCGAUACUGAUCGACUCGAAGGCAGGAGAGGGUAGUGGAAUUCCCGGUGUAGUGGUGAAAUGCGUAGAGUAAUCAUGAGGAAUACCAGAGGCGAAGGCGGCUACCUGGACAAUUGCUGACGCUCAGGCACGAAAGCGUGGGGAGCAAAAGGG